UGAUGUCAUAAAAUAGCUGUUUUAAUAAGACAGAAUAAGAAGAGAACUAUUAGAUAGCAAGUAAAUCUUACAUCCCUUUGGAGGCAGGGCACCCCACUUUCCUGCAACACUGGUGGACCCCAGGUAGACUUUCCCACGACUUGCUGUGGGAAUCCCAUCUGUGGAGAUGAGCCCAGCAUCUGAAGUGGCGUAAGAUUUACUUGUGAUCUAUAUUCCUCUUUUUCGUUCUGUGCCAUUAUGGCAGCAAUUUUAUUAUUCCAUUUGUUGUCAGGCCUUUCUCACCGAGGCCCAGGAAGACCUCUGUACCAUGUCAUGCCCGCUCAUCAUGCCUGGAAACACUGCAUGGUGUCCCUCACUGCAGAAUGGAGCAGGGGGUAGAGGAAGAAAGGACACUGGGUCCAACCAUAGGCUCUGUCCAGGCUGUGCUCUUCCCCACAGCCGUGGUGCAGGUUUGGUGACUCUGUAGAGCAUAAUAGGAGGGAAGUAACUUGGCUUCCCUUUUCACCUCCUCAGGGGCUGUUUUAUCCCACCUGGCAUAUAGUGUCUUUCAUUGGAGGAGGGACAGCUAUAUCUCCUACCUGCAGGUCUGGAUCCACCCCAGAGAGUUGGCACCAUACCAUCUCUAUCCAGGCCUCCCCAGUCCUAAGCUGGAGCAACGGCAAGUUCCUUACUCCAAAUAACGGCUCGCUUCCACCACACCUGGAGGCUGGUCUCCAGCCUCCUUAGCUGCCGUGUAAUCUGGGCUGACCAGCGGUACAGACAGAGCUCCCUCUGGCACCAACAAAGGGUUAGUUAAACAGGGGAAGCUGUUUGCACCUUUGGGUGAUGUGGGAGCGAGGACAGCAGGGAAAGGAUGGGUUGUGUGACCAGAGCUGUUGAAGGACAGGUGGCAUCCCCCAGUGCCAACUCAGCUGGCCAAAGGUGGCCCCUCAGUGAUUUAAUUCCCUGAUGGCUAAAAGCCAAGGUGGCUGCACUUCUUACCUCAUCAGCAAGGGAAAUUUCACUCCCUGACAGGAGUCAAUGUUCCUGGCAUUCCUGCUCCCAGAGAGUAUAACACUUUCUGCAGCUGGGCGUCCUCACUUUCCACGCCAUGUCAUUCCUUGGUCACAAAUUGCCAUUGCUGAAUAGUUACACCUUCAUCUCUCGUGGUUUGUCUAUGCUCCAUGUGCCUGCAGAUGAGCUUUUUAUCACUUAACGUGACAAUCACCAGUUCUAGGGGCCAUUGGACUCCAGUGGGACAGCUGACUCCAUCCUUCUGGUGCAGCAGCAGCAGUGUGGCCCACUGUCCACCUGGCUGGCUGGUGGGUCCUGGCAUUGCUGGGAGGCCCCAUCUCCGUCCCCACAGAGGAGGAAUAUCACAUCCCAGCGCUGGCACAUGUAGCAGAUGCUCAUGGCUGUCCCCAGUCCUGCUACAGCUCUGAGGUUUGUGGGAAUGAAGAGCUUGGGAGAAUGAGAAUCUGCAUGGAGAAGGAGUGAAAUCAUGAAGCUCUGACCUGCACACCUCUGCAAUCAGGAGCAAAGUGACAGAAGGAAGAAGGAAUGGUCACAUGCUUUUUGGCGUCCUGAAUUACAUUAAAACUCCAGGUAGAAGUCAAAGACUUAGAUCCAGUAUCCUGGAGCCACUAAUUGAUGCUGAAAACAUUAACAUGAGACUGGACUGUGUUCAGGAAUUACUCCAGGACGGGGAGCUCUUUUUUGGCCUUUAACUAGUUAUCUCAAAAUUCCUGGAUACAGAACAACUACUUUCCAUUUUGGCGCAAGUUCCAAAGCAGGAUAUAGUAUGUUUUGAAAUGAACCUUAGAUGAUCAGUUACCUCCAAGACGCUUGUCUUGGAGCAGGAACCUGAUAGUCCUGGGGAAUCAGUGCAAAUGCAUGGAAAAUAAGCCCUACUGAAAUCCAAAAAUCAUGGUGUAUAUUGAAAUAAAACUUAACUUCUCUUCUGACAAACUGCUGAUGGGCAGAGAGGAAGAUCUGGAAAGUCCUGCGUUUGUCACCAGAGCGGCAGAAGGUGUCACGAGUGGUGGCAGCUGCUCCCAAAGCUGCUUACAGACCUUUUUUGUGUAGCCAGUUCCAUUUCUGAAGUUGUUCACAGCCUAGAGGCAGAAAAACCAUUUAUGGAAAGGUAACGUUACAGAAUAUAUUCCAGAAACUUCAGCAGAUCUCCACACAAACGCCUCUGAGGAGUCAAAUUACUUGUGCAUUCCUGCAAAUGCCAUCAAACCUAAAAUAAAUCAACAUACAGAGAUAGGAACAUGUCACAUUAAACAUGGAUGUUAAGGAUUGGUAUUUAAUCCUUUAUUUAGUACUUUGGUACUUAAAGUCCUUCAGUGUUAACGCUGAAUUUGAAUGUGAAGCGAUCACGCUAAACAAAACUGUGACCCGAAUUGGACAAAUUGCCUCUAAAUUUAGAGUUGUGACCUUCUGGAACAACAGAUAAUGUGUUUGAACAGGAAAUUCCAAGUGUUUUUAGCCAAACUAAGGACGUUUUGUAGGUUCUAAUCAAUUAUAAGAACACUUAGAUGAUUAAUGGGUAAAUAUAGUCUGGAAUGAAGAGCAUGAAACUCUAAAUGUUCAAUAGUGUAAAAAAUUUCUCAUACGCAACAAAUAGCUAUAGAGUUUUGAUAUUUUGUUCUUACAACAUUUGAAGAUGUAGACUGGGCUGUGUCCUGGUGUUCUAAUUAGUCUCAUUAGAUGAGGCUGUGUCUGGAUGUUUUGACCAGUCUUUUUUCCACCUUCUCAUCCAGUGAGAAGUCACCAACCUCAAGGUUACUGAAUAAAACACAUCUCAAAAACCAUGAGUAGGUAGGUUUGAGUUCUGGAGGCCUGAACCAACCCUCUCAGGGAGAAGAAUGUGGAUUAAAUUAUAUUUAUUUCUUGAAAUUCUUUUCUGAUAGUUUAAAUGAUAUUUCCUUCUUAUAUUUCUACCUUCAGAAGAGCAGGUGUGAUGCUGGCAUUAGCAAACACAUUCAUCGCAAUAACUGUUUCCACAGCAGGGAAUAAUGAUGGCAUCAGUUGUUAUGUUUUUACAAAUGAGACAUAACAACUCCUCGCGAACAGGGUUGUGGUUUGAGGAGGAGGAGGGCGGUUCCAGUGAUAAAAAUGGAGGUUUUUUCCUUCUUCCCUCUCCCUGGAGUGGGAGAUGGAAAAUCAAAAAGUUGAAGAUGGGCAAAGGAAAGCUUCUCCAAGCUUUGGGUUUCAUCAAAGGGAGAUAAUAGAUGGAAUUUUCAGGUUAUGAGACAGCGACAACGCUUCUUCCCCCAUAACUACAGGUGCUGCGCAACUUGCUGGCAUUGCCGCUAACACACUCACAUGUGGUUUCUCCCGUUGCCUUUUGGGUCAGUCCAAUUAAUUCUGUACUUACGUGUUAAUAAUUGGUAUUGCGUACUUUCCGGUGUUUGUCAGCAUCGCACCCCUUGUACUGGGAUCUUUCAGCUCCAUCAGGAAAUUUCUGGGAAUUCCUGUGUUCUUUUUACUCCUGGGAACAGGCUCAAAAGUUUUGUCCUGUUACAAACAGAAAGGCAGACAUCUCUCAUCUGAAGACCCACACUUGAAAUGACAUUUCAGUGAUGAUUUCAACUAGCAAAAGCUUUUAAUCUUCUCCUUUUGCCAAGCAUAAGGGCUGCAUGAAUAUUCAACAAAAGACUUGUGUAACAAAAACACACAAAUAUCCAACAGGUGGGGUCAACAGAAACAUCUCGGUUUUGUACGGAAUCCUAAAAACUGCAAAAUGUCAUUAAAAAGAGUUCAAAACAAAACAAUUUCCAGUAAUACUGAAGUAGAUAAACAGGCAUGAAGGAUCACAGAGCAUGAUCUACAGCCAUAUUUAUUGUCUAUUACCUAGGAAAAAAGAAAACAUUACAUUAAGAAUUCCAGGUUGUCCCUCCCUGAACAUCUGGGUCCAUUGGGGCACUCCCAAGGUAGUUCAGGGAGGGACCCAGGAGUUCGGGAGGGACCCCAAACCCUGAACCCCCACAGAGCCCCAUACGUUACUCAUAGUGCCCCGUAAGUGACUCUUAGCCACCCCCAAGUGCCCCGGAAGUGGCUCAUAGAGCCCCAUAAGUGACCCAUAGAGCUCCACAAGUGACACAUGGAGCCCCAUAAGUGACUCUUAUCGACCCAUAAGUGCCUUUUAGUGACCCCCAAGUGCCCCCUAGCGACCCACAAGUUCCCCCUUCUUGCCCCAUAAGUGCCCCAUAGUGCCCCAUAAGUGACUCAUAGAGACUGGGUCCCGCCCUGAACUCCUGAGUCCCUGGGGCACUCCUGGGUCCCUCCCGAACUCCUGGAUCUCUCCUGAACUCCUGGGUCCCUUGCGGC